rnacentral:rRNA from 1 species
UACGAGUGGUGCGAGCGUUAUUCGGAAUCAUUGGGCGUAAAGGGUGUGUAGACGGUCUAUCAAGUCAACUGUUUAAUUCUCCGGCCUAACCGGAGGUCAGCGGUAGAAACUAAUGGGCUUGAGGGUGAGAGAGAGAAGUGGAAUUCUCGGAGUAGCGGUAAAAUGCGUAGAUCUCGAGAGGAACACCAAUGGCGAAGGCAGCUUCUUGGCUCAUUCCUGACGUUGAAACACGAAAGCGUGGGGAGCAAACAGG